rnacentral:misc_RNA from 1 species
GGCGCAGGGCGCCGGUGACACUGGACCCGACGACGACGGCAGGCCGGGCAUGGGUGACGGCACCACCGGGGAGGACGAGCCGCUGGACACCGGCGGCGACGGCCUCGGUCUCGGGUACCCCGGGAACACGGGGUUACGCGGCCUGCUGCCCGGGCGGCCCGGGAACCGGAGCGCGUCGGCGUCUGCCGGGUUGCUCGCCGCCACCGAUGGCUGCACCGACGUGAGCAUGGCCGCGACGGCGAGCAUGGUGGCAAUGCACUUGGCCAUGGAUGCUGCUGUCGCCUCCUUGCUACUGAUGAUGGCUUGCAUUGCUGUGACAGUUCAGAUCAACCACAGGACCGGAGCGAGCAGAUGAAAUGCAGCUAGAAGGUAGCUAGCUAGAGAGGUCUGUGCUAUGCCGGUGCCCAUCCGAUGAUUCACUGCCUCGUCUUUAUAGUUCAACUCGUGUCGCUUGCCAUUUUCUUAUAUGGUUAACACGAAGAACGUGAGAUAUCUCUUUACUCCUCCUGUCUAUAAAGAAAUGUUCAUGUUCCAUAAAGCAGACAUUUUUAUGAAUCUGUCUUUACAGCCAUUUAGUCUGGGAACUGGGGUAGGUGAAAUGCAGAAUGAUGCAGUGUCUGUCAGGACAGCAGUAGUUCCAAAGGCAGAGCAGUGCCCAACAAAUCCGGC